rnacentral:rRNA from 1 species
GGAUUGUUAAGCAAGACGUGAAAUCCCCGGGGCUUAACCUGGGAAUGGCGUUUUGAACUGGCAGUCUAGAGUGCGUCAGAGGGGGGUGGAAUUCCACGUGUAGCAGUGAAAUGCGUAGAUAUGUGGAGGAACACCAAUGGCGAAGGCAGCCCCCUGGGAUGACACUGACGCUCAUGUACGAAAGCGUGGGUAGCAAACAGGAUUAGAUACCCUGGUAGUCCACGCCCUAAACGAUGUCAACUGGUUGUUGGGGGAGUGAAAUCCCUUAGUAACGAAGCUAACGCGUGAAGUUGACCGCCUGGGGAGUACGGUCGCAAGAUUAAAACUCAAAGGAAUUGACGGGGACCCGCACAAGCGGUGGAUGAUGUGGAUUAAUUCGAUGCAACGCGAAAAACCUUACCUACCCUUGACAUGUCCAGAAUCCUGCAGAGAUGCGGGAGUGCCCGAAAGGGAAUUGGAACACAGGUGCUGCAUGGCUGUCGUCAGCUCGUGUCGUGAGAUGUUGGGUUAAGUCCCGCAACGAGCGCAACCCUUAUCAUUAGUUGCUACGCAAGGGCACUCUAAUGAGACUGCCGGUGACAAACCGGAGGAAGGUGGGGAUGACGUCAAGUCCUCAUGGCCCUUAUGGGUAGGGCUUCACACGUCAUACAAUGGUCGGUACAGAGGGUUGCCAAGCCGCGAGGUGGAGCCAAUCCCAGAAAGCCGAUCGUAGUCCGGAUUGUUCUCUGCAACUCGAGAGCAUGAAGUCGGAAUCGCUAGUAAUCGCGGAUCAGCAUGUCGCGGUGAAUACGUUCCCGGGUCUUGUACACACCGCCCGUCACACCAUGGGAGUGGAAUCUGCCAGAAGUAGGUAGCCUAACCGCAAGGAGGGCGCUUACCACGGUGGGUUUCAUGACUGGGGUGAAGUCGUAACAAGGGUAAC